UCGUUGAAUGUGUCGACCGAGGUUAACAACUGAAAUAAAAAUAGUUCUCGAGCUGAGUGCUAUCUGUUCUGUCAGACGGCCUCAAUGCAUCGACGUAUCCAGUCACUGUGCAUUCUUUCUCACAUUUUCAUUCGCACACAGCCUGAUCAUCCAAAAAGUAUAUAGAUUAAAUGAAGAAUUUUUACUGGAAGAUUUUCACGAUUGACAGUAGUAAAAGGUACACGUUAUCCAUCGAUGAUCUUCAGUUUUCUUUUUUAUCUUUUUUUCAGUAUGUUUAUACGUUUAUAUACAACCUAUCAUGUAAUAUAAUCGUGAAUGUUACGUCGCGUAUUAAAGUUACAUGUUAACGUGCACGUUACGUUAUUAUACCCGUACUUUGUCGUACAAUGAUGGAACUCAGAGAAAGAAAAGAAAAAAAAAAAAAAAAUAUAUGAAUCGAUCCGGGAAUCGAGAGGACGUUUCAGUGGACGCGCACGUAAGUCUAAGAGAAAGGCUUUGGGUUUUCAUCCCAAUCGUAAGCUUAACGAUAUACACGCUUCUACAUUAUAAUACAAUUGUUCUCGUUUCAUUCCGGCGAUCUUUGCCACGCCAAUGCGUACACCUCUUUUUCAUUAAUUGAAUACAAUUUCAUGAGUGUUUCUUAAAUUAACCCUUAAACGAAGAUGGUUAGGUCUAUGCUGAUAAUAAAUGUUUUAAUUAAAAUUAGGUACUCGAAUUUCCAAGAAAAGAUUUUCAUAUGUUAAAAAAAAUAAUAUUUAAAGAAAUAGUAUAAAAUUUAGAAAAUGGGAAUAAAAAUUAAUUUAACAUAAAAUUUAACCCUUUGAAUCUUAAAUUAUACAUUGAUCCAGCAAAGAUCCACCUCCUCCAUCCAAGGAUUAAUUAAAAAAAUAAUAAGUUUCGUUUUUUUUUCAAAUGAUUUAGAAGAGUGUGUAUUGAUCGUAUCGGCAAAGAUUACGCGGAGAUUUGAUCAUCACGAAAACAGGGACGGUUCGGACAUAACACGAACGACGAUCAUAUCCUUUCCCGAACGACAGGAUUUAUUUGUGAAAAUUCCGGUGAUUAAAGAAGGAACACGAUCGCCAAGGAUGAUCCUGUACCCUCGAGACAUUACUUUCUCUCAAACGGAAAAUGAUUGGCAAUGAACGCAUUUUAUAUUUGAUAAACUGUUCGAUUACAAUUGCACUCGACCGUGACACGAUCGAAAAUUGCACUUUGCCCUAGAAGAUCGAACAAAAGAAAAAAUGGAACGACUAGCCCUGAUAUUUCGUCACAGGAUCGAUCCUUACUUUAGGAUCUAUAACGAUUCGGACGAUGAUUUGAAUCGUCAUCGAUCCACGGUGAUCCGAGCCGGGCCGAUAAGGUUUUCAACGACUUAUCGACGAUCGAUCAUGAUUUUUCGCCUAUCUAAAAAGAUUCUACGACACGAUACAUGUUAGGAUCAAGACGCCCGCACAAAUAUAUACAAUGUUAUGAGGCGGCUGCGUGAAAACGUAGACACGGUUUUGUAUUCAGGAUUCGCAUCGAUUUUUCUUUCCCCGAAAGUAUGAAAAAAGAAAAAAAAAAAGAAGAAAUAUAACCAAUGUUUCUAUUAUCUACUUAUAUAAAACAUAUGUAAUUAAUAAUAAAAUUUAAUUAGCAAUUGGCCUUACUAACUUACUGUAUAUUAUUUCUUAUCACUUUAUUUUCCACUUUGAAAAUUACUACUUUCGUUUCUUUUAUUUUCAAAGCCAUUUUAGAAAUUCCUAUAAUAAAUUGUUGGAAUAAAAAAGCAACUUUUAUUUGAAUUAUAAUGAAAAUUUGAUCCACAAUGAAAUUUGGCAAAUUAUUGCACAUAAGGGUAAAAAAUAAGAAUAAAGAACGAUGCCCUAAAUCACAAUGAACCGUGUCAGCCUCGUAACGCAGCUGAAACGAUCAUCACAAUAGUGAAAAUUAGUAACAGAUAAUAUACAUAUGUAUAUUAACUUUACCAAGUAGCUCAUCUUCAUCGCACUCCGUAAACUCACUCACACUUUUAUGUACUCUUUUUCAUUUUUAUUUGUUUUUCUUUUUCCGUUCGAUAGUGACGAUGUGAGAAUAGUAAAUAGCAUCGGUAACGUUGUUAACGAUAACAGUAAUAAUUAAUAGGAAUAAUGACAAUAAUAAUAAUAAUAUUAUAAUGACAAUUAAUAAUCAAAUAAGUAAGAAUAACCGUAUUUCACGAUGACCGUAAUAAUAAUUAAUUAACGCUAUAUUAUAUAUAUAUAUUAUUUAUAAUUUUAUAUUAUAUAUAU